rnacentral:rRNA from 1 species
AGGCAGCAGUGAGGAAUAUUGGUCAAUGGGCGAGAGCCUGAACCAGCCAUCCCGCGUGCAGGAAGAGGGCCCUAUGGGUUGUAAACUGCUUUUACGCAAGAAGAAUGGUACCCUCGUGAGGGUAUUUGACGGUACUGCGUGAAUAAGCACCGGCUAACUCCGUGCCAGCAGCCGCGGUAAUACGGAGGGUGCAAGCGUUAUCCGGAUUUAUUGGGUUUAAAGGGUGCGUAGGCGGUAUUAUAAGUCAGUGGUGAAAUGUUGCAGCUUAACUGUAAAAUUGCCAUUGAAACUGCAGUACUUGAGUUAUCUUGAAGUAGGCGGAAUGUGUAGUGUAGCGGUGAAAUGCUUAGAUAUUACACAGAACACCGAUUGCGAAGGCAGCUUACUAAGGGUAAACUGACGCUGAGGCACGAAGCGUGUGGAUCGAACAUGAUUAGAUACCAUAUGGUAUGGACGGGGGCCCGCACAAGCGGAGGAACAUGUGGUUUAAUUCGAUGAUACGCGAGGAACCUUACCUGGGCUUAAAUGUGCUAUGACCGCUGGAGAAAUUCGGCUUUUCGCAAGAACAGAGUACAAGGUGCUGCAUGGUUGUCGUCAGCUCGUGCCGUGAGGUGUCGGGUUAAGUCCCAUAACGAGCGCAACCCUUAUUGUCAGUUGCUAACAGGUUAAGCUGAGGACUCUGGCGAGACUGCCACCGUAAGGUGUGAGGAAGGUGGGGAUGACGUCAAAUCAGCACGGCCCUCAUGUCCAGGGCUACACACGUGUUACAAUGGCCGAUACAAAGGGCAGCUACCAGGCGACUGGAUGCUAAUCUCUAAAGUCGGUCUCAGUUCGGAUCGAAGUCUGCAACCCGACUUCGUGAAGCUGGAUUCGCUAGUAAUCGCGCAUCAGCCAUGGCGCGGUGAAUACGUUCCCGGGCCUUGUACACACCG